AUGAACGCUAGCUACAGGCUUAACACAUGCAAGUCGAGGGGCAGCAUGAACUUAGCUUGCUAAGUUUGAUGGCGACCGGCGCACGGGUGAGUAACACGUAUCCAACCUGCCGAUGACUCGGGGAUAGCCUUUCGAAAGAAAGAUUAAUACCCGAUGGCAUAGUUCUUCCGCAUGGUAGAACUAUUAAAGAAUUUCGGUCAUCGAUGGGGAUGCGUUCCAUUAGGUUGUUGGCGGGGUAACGGCCCACCAAGCCUUCGAUGGAUAGGGGUUCUGAGAGGAAGGUCCCCCACAUUGGAACUGAGACACGGUCCAAACUCCUACGGGAGGCAGCAGUGAGGAAUAUUGGUCAAUGGACGAGAGUCUGAACCAGCCAAGUAGCGUGAAGGAUGACUGCCCUAUGGGUUGUAAACUUCUUUUAUACGGGAAUAAAGUGAGGCACGUGUGCCUUUUUGUAUGUACCGUAUGAAUAAGGAUCGGCUAACUCCGUGCCAGCAGCCGCGGUAAUACGGAGGAUCCGAGCGUUAUCCGGAUUUAUUGGGUUUAAAGGGAGCGUAGGCGGACGCUUAAGUCAGUUGUGAAAGUUUGCGGCUCAACCGUAAAAUUGCAGUUGAUACUGGGUGUCUUGAGUACAGUAGAGGCAGGCGGAAUUCGUGGUGUAGCGGUGAAAUGCUUAGAUAUCACGAAGAACUCCGAUUGCGAAGGCAGCUUGCUGGACUGUAACUGACGCUGAUGCUCGAAAGUGUGGGUAUCAAACAGGAUUAGAUACCCUGGUAGUCCACACAGUAAACGAUGAAUACUCGCUGUUUGCGAUAUACAGUAAGCGGCCAAGCGAAAGCGUUAAGUAUUCCACCUGGGGAGUACGUUCGCAAGAAUGAAACUCAAAGGAAUUGACGGGGACCCGCACAAGCGGUGGAGCAUGUGGUUUAAUUCGAAGCAACGCGAAGAACCUUACCAGGUCUUGACAUCCAACUAACGAAGUAGAGAUACAUUAGGUGCCCUUCGGGGAAAGUUGAGACAGGUGGUGCAUGGUUGUCGUCAGCUCGUGCCGUGAGGUGUCGGCUUAAGUGCCAUAACGAGCGCAACCCUUAUCGAUAGUUACCAUCAGGUUAUGCUGGGGACUCUGUCGAGACUGCCGUCGUAAGAUGUGAGGAAGGUGGGGAUGACGUCAAAUCAGCACGGCCCUUACGUCCGGGGCUACACACGUGUUACAAUGGGGGGUACAGAAGGCAGCUACACGGCGACGUGAUGCUAAUCCCGAAAGCCUCUCUCAGUUCGGAUUGGAGUCUGCAACCCGACUCCAUGAAGCUGGAUUCGCUAGUAAUCGCGCAUCAGCCACGGCGCGGUGAAUACGUUCCCGGGCCUUGUACACACCGCCCGUCAAGCCAUGAAAGCCGGGGGUACCUGAAGUGCGUAACCGCAAGGAGCGCCCUAGGGUAAAACUGGUGAUUGGGGCU
rnacentral:rRNA from 1 species